rnacentral:lncRNA from 1 species
AAAGAAAAAACGGUGACAUCCCAGAUCCAGGAGACCCCGGGCCACAGCGCUGCGGGAGUUAGCACUCAGUGGCUAUGGGAAGAGAAAGAACAGCUUUCCCGGGGGCUGCUCUGGGCCUGGGGUGCUCCUGUGGCCUCUGAUCUCUCAGGGAGCCAUGAAGGAGAUUGGGCUGGAAAAGUCUCUCUGAGGCUCGCUGGGACCCUGAGGGGAAAAGGGCCUUAGGGUGGGUGAGUGGGCAGGAUUUGGAGAAAGUUGCCCCUUGACUUACAGCAAGAAGUGGAAGAGGAUUAGAAGCCAUUAAUUCCUGGAAUUGUUCUCUGGAGUGUAAGUGACAACAGCUGUAGCUAUCUGCUCAGUGUCUUUCCACAUGGACUCCCCUGUACAAGGGACGCAUGAACACACACAGCCAAAUGGGGUGCUGCCGAUUCCACGUGGGAGCAAAGACAGGCCUGCCACCAACUGACAGACAGACAGUCCCAAAGCAAUCAUCUGGACACUCGAGAAAAUGGCCUUAGUCCUGAUUCCCCUCUCUCUUACCCAUUCUCAGGCAGGCACAGGCAGAGAGAGGGAGAUUUCCCAUUUGCUCUGACCAUGGAGAGGCCCUUUGAAAGUAUCACUCUGUCCUCACAAAGGGCUAAGUUUCACGUUAAUUCAAAUACAAAGCAAACUAACAAAUAAAAUCUCCUUUCCUCUAUCAUCAGGGCUGGGCUCAGUUAAAACUCAGAGUGAAAAGUUGUCAGAGAAGAAUUAUAAAUUUCUAUGAAAAUAGCCAUUGUAAA